AAAAUGACUCUCGGCAACGGAUAUCUCGGCUCUCGCAUCGAUGAAGAACGUAGCGAAAUGCGAUACUUGGUGUGAAUUGCAGAAUCCCGUGAACCAUCGAGUCUUUGAACGCAAGUUGCGCCCGAAGCCUUCUGGCUGAGGGCACGUCUGCCUGGGCGUCACGC
rnacentral:rRNA from 1 species